GAUGAACGCUGGCGGCGUGCCUAAUACAUGCAAGUCGAGCGAACGGACGAGAAGCUUGCUUUUCUGAUGUUAGCGGCGGACGGGUGAGUAACACGUGGAUAACCUACCUAUAAGACUGGGAUAACUUCGGGAAACCGGAGCUAAUACCGGAUAAUAUUUUGAACCGCAUGGUUCAAAAGUGAAAGACGGUCUUGCUGUCACUUAUAGAUGGAUCCGCGCUGCAUUAGCUAGUUGGUAAGGUAACGGCUUACCAAGGCAACGAUGCAUAGCCGACCUGAGAGGGUGAUCGGGCACCCUGGAAGUGAGGCUGGGCCCAGACUCCGACGGGAGGAAGCAGUAGGGAAUCCUCCGCGAUGGGGGAAAGCCUGACGGAGCGACGCCGCGUGAGGGAUGAAGGUCUUCGGAUCGUAAAACUCUGUUAUUAGGGAAGAACAAAUAUGUAAGUAACUGUGCACAUCUUGACGGUACCUAAUCAGAAAGCCACGGCUAACUACGUG
rnacentral:rRNA from 1 species